rnacentral:misc_RNA from 1 species
UCACGUCCGGGAGGAUUAACGGGUCCGGUUCUUCACACUCGAUGCAUCUGUAGAGACGCGGCCCAACGCCGGUUUGUGGCAAUACAAGCCUUACCGGAAAAUAGCAGUUCGGACAGACGGGGGUCGUUGAUCGCGCCAUCAUGCAACUGUGAGAUCAGAAACUGCACGCGUCAAUUGGAACCAAAAACGUCGUUCGUUUGACGGCAUGGAGCAGUGAAUUGUGGGGAAGAAUGAGAUCCGCGUGCAAUCGCGA